rnacentral:lncRNA from 1 species
AUGAGACGCUUCUGCUGCAGCAAAACUCCACGGAAGCCUGCAGUGAUGGGGGCGAUGGCUGUGGCUCAGCUCAGGGAAGUCACUGCUGUGCCCCUGCUGCAGAAAGCACCAGUUCCAAAACUCAGCCCCAAAAACGUGUCUGCAAAGGGCGCUGAUAAAAGCCAGGCUCCCCUUUCCCCAUUCCUGGCUGGACUGGAGCUUGUGCUGACUCAGCUACUCAGCUUCGCCCCUGAGCACAAAUGGAUCAAGCUUCUAGAGCCAUCAGCGUGGAAAUGUUUGCAGUGGCCAGACCAGCACGACAACAGCUAUGGAAAGAAAGGCAAGAAAAUCCAGGUGUUUUGUGGGCUUGCCUGUGUAAAAGCAUGGUCAGACAGCUCAUCUGAGCUAGCCAUUGUCUGCCUAAUGCCACCUCUGGCCCUUCCCUUAAAUGCGGGGGUAAGAAGGGUGAUGAGUAUUUUGGACGCCAAUAAAUCACUUUACCUUCAUCACCUUUAUCUGAGGUUUUGCAAAGUUCUGGCCUCGUGAGAGGUGUCACUGGGCCUACAGAAGUGGCAACACCCUCCACAGUUCCUCUUUCCAUGCCCCUCUUCCCAAAGUUAAGGACACUGAAGUCACCAUCUGCAGUUCAGUGAGGAGAGACCUGUACUUGCUCCCUUGAAGGGUGCAGAGGAAAGAAGGGCCAUGGGGGAAGACUUGCUUCAAGGCUUUCUCUUUGGGCAGUUUGGGUAUGCCAAGGAGCCAGCUGUGUUUCAGAAGGUGGUCUGAGAUCCAGUCCGAAGCAACAGAAAGAUAAAAGACAAGUUCAUAUCUUUUAUUUCCUCACCGAUUUUCACUUCUAAGGUAGAUUUGGUAAAGCAGCAGCUUCAGGCUUGACACCAGGAGGAACAAUCUGAAUUAAUUUACCUAUUCCUCUUUUAAAAUCUCUAAGAUCUACCAGUUUAUUGUCAUCCUGGGAAGCACUGUGACAUUUCUCUUAUUGCUGACUAUAUUGUUCCUAUUAAAGAGUGUCAAUCAUUCAAUGCAGCUAGAUAUAAAUCAAAUGCAUUCCUUUCAUUGAUAUAAUUAGUGAACAGAAGGUGUGGGGGAAUUGUAAAGCUGUUGAAUUCUGCAAAUUAAGGCCUUCAACAGCAGCAACAAACCCCUGACUAUAACGAAAAGAGCAAAGACGUGUCAAUCUUGUUUAGUCACCUGGUUAGAGGAUGCAGGUUCCCUUACUGACAGUUUCAGAGUGUGACAGGGUAAGAAUUUGAGAUCCAGUAGCUCCUGUGGAACUGAACCCAUAUGAACUAUCUCAACUGACAUCCUUCUAAAUUUCUCACAGGAAUUGUUUAUCUAAGAUGAAAAAAACAGUUCUUUUUGUGAAAUUGAGCAUUUCAGCAAGGC